rnacentral:rRNA from 1 species
GACGAACGCUGGCGGCGCGCUUAACACAUGCAAGUCGAGCGAGAACCAGGACUUCGGUCCUGGGGACAGCGGCGAACGGGUGAGUAUCACGUGGAUAACCUGCCCUCGGCACCGGGAUAGCCCGGGGAAACCCGGAUUAAUACCGGAUGGCCCUUCCGGCUCACGAGCCGGUCGGAAAAGGUAGCUUCGGCCUCCGGCCGAGGAUGGGUCCGCGGCGGAUUAGCUCGUCGGUGGGGUAACGGCCUACCAAGGCUCCGAUCCGUAGCUGGUCUGACGGGACCAUCAGGCACGCUGGGACUGAGACUCGGCCCAGGCUCCUACGGGAGGCAGCAGUGGGGAAUCUUGCGCAAUGGGCGAAAGCCUGACGCUGCGACGCCGCGUGAGGGAGGAAGGCCUUCGGGUUGUAAACCUCUUUCAGGAGGGACGAAGCUACUCGGGUGAAUAGCCCAGAGGGUGACGGUACCUCCAGAAGAAGCCCCGGCUAACUACGUGCCAGCAGCCGCAGUAAGAC